rnacentral:rRNA from 1 species
GGGAAGGUGGAGUGCUUGCCUUCGCUGACGAGCGGCGGACGGGUGCGUAACACGUAGGAAUCUGCCCGGUAGUGGGGGAUAGCCCGGAGAAAUUCGGAUUAAUACCGCAUACGCCCUAAGGGGGAAAGCAGGGGAUCUUCGGACCUUGCGCUAUCGGAUGAGCCUGCGUCGGAUUAGCUAGUUGGUGGGGUAAAGGCCCACCAAGGCGACGAUCCGUAGCUGGUCUGAGAGGAUGAUCAGCCACACUGGGACUGAGACACGGCCCAGACUCCUACGGGAGGCAGCAGUGGGGAAUAUUGCACAAUGGGCGAAAGCCUGAUGCAGCCAUGCCGCGUGUGUGAAGAAGGCCCUAGGGUUGUAAAGCACUUUCAGUGGGGAGGAAAGGUUGAAGGUUAAUACCCUUUAGCUGUGACGUUACCCACAGAAGAAGCACCGGCUAACUCCGUGCCAGCAGCCGCGGUAAUACGGAGGGUGCGAGCGUUAAUCGGAAUUACUGGGCGUAAAGCGUGCAUAGGCGGCUUUUUAAGUUGGAUGUGAAAGCCCCGGGCUUAACCUGGGAACUGCAUCCAAAACUGGAAGGCUUGAGUGCGAGAGAGGAGUGUGGAAUUUCCUGUGUAGCGGUGAAAUGCGUAGAUAUAGGAAGGAACACC